GGAGAAUAUAUGGUAUAUGCUAGCAUUUCCAAUCUUGCAUCUCCCAGCAGCACCAAAAAUAGCUUGUUUUAUUUUAUCAUUAUUUAUGUAAGAUGAAAUCAUAUGACACUUAUUUAAUAAUGAUAAAAUAAAAACUAGCAUUUUUAUUCAUUAUGUUCCAAGUACUGUGAAAAGUUCCAUAUAUGUUUUAAGCAUUAUCUACUCCUACAACUAUAUGUAGUAACUAUCAUAAUGCCCGUAAAAUGAGAAUGAAAGUUGAAUCACCUAAGGUCUUCCAACUAAAACCCAAUUUCAUCUGAUUCCAAAGCUUGCUUCAUUAAUCACUCUGUUAAAAUUGUGCAACACAUCAUUGCAAGAGAUACCUCAUUAUGAAUUCAAAUAGAAAUUGUAUACAUACCUGCAAAAUUUUUAAAAAUUAUCUUCUCCUUAUUUUCUAACUGUUUGAGGGGUGCAUGUGACCUGGAACAUGGAGAAGCCCCCCAGACAUGCGCUGUUUGUUUCAGAUGAACCUGGGGUUAUGUCCCACUUCAUGGGCAUGCUCUGUCUUCCUGGGCAAGAUAUUUAGUCUCUCUGAGCUCACUUGCCUCAUAGGAUUUCUGUGAGAGGUACUUUAUUUUGCAAAACUCUUUUAAAGUGACAAACAUAGUAAGCAUUAAAUACAUAUAGACUAUUGUUGCUGUCACCAUCAUCAUCAACCAUGACCCUCAUCAUCCCUCUAAGCACUAAUAUGACCCAGUGUGGCUGAGGUGAUGCCAGUUCUCUUGGCAUUCUGUCCAGAUAGUGAAAGUCCUAAACCCCACAAGGUUUACUGAAAAAUAUCCCCAAAUAUCUUGGUAUGUAUCUUCCCCAAAAUGUAUCUUCCCAGGAAUGGACCCCUCAGGGAUACCAGUGCAUAUUUGGGACUUCAGAAUUUCUCUCCCCUACCGGGUUCAACUGGGUUAGGCUCACUUCAUUUUGAAGCAUCUCAGGCUCUUACUGGUUUCCUAGGGAAUGGUUUCUUAGAUCUGCACUGCCCUAGGUUAUCAGAGGGACUGGAAUGGCUGAGUCAGAGGCCUUGAGAAACACUAUACAGCUUGAACAAGGUCAACCAGGCCAGCAAGGGCCACUAGGAGGAAGAGAACUCUAAUAGAAGUUACCUCCAAGGGGUCACUUACCUCCUGGGGUAGCAUUGAAGGAACAGAAACAGAAGGGAAAGUAGCUUUGUAUUCACCCUCAUCAAAUCCUUUUGGCAUUUUUGUCCUUUGAGUCUACACUGCUGGAAGUAUUUGAGUAAAGAUGAGCCUGCCCAAAUGCGGCCCCUGGAUCCACCUCUCACCACCUCCUCAGGGAAGACCCCAGAAGUGCAUCCUGGAUGUACCUAUGAGAAGCAUGAAGAUGCAACCCUGGAAAAUAUUGGGCAGGUAGUAGCCAAUCUGGUGCUUUCUAGUAGCACUCCCCUGAACCCACCAAAAUAGCUGGUUAUGUUUCUUUCUUUCCCACACUUGUUCAAUGUUUUUUAGUAUAGUUCUGAACAGGGUGGGUCUUCUACCAGUAAAAUCUGGAAGCUGAGUGUUUGGUCAUGGUGGCACCUCAGUUUAAGACUUUAGGUCCCACCUUAGAGCUGUUUAAGAGGGAAAUUCUGUAGAGGAGGGGUGCCCCUCAACUGGCAGUACUGAAGGCUUUGGUGGUGGGAGAGGAGGUGCGGAGGGAGGGCUUAUCUCGAUUCUUAUAGAAUCCAUUAAUUCCUAGAGCAUCUUUCAGCUCAGGCAUAUUAUCCAUCUAUACACAGUGACUCAACCUGAAAAUUGGGAAGAACAGUUCAGUGGAAGAAGAGGUGCUUAUGGUGGGGACAGGUUGCCAACAAAGAAGGUGGCAGAGAUGGUGUGUCCUAUGGUCUCCCUGAUGACAAUCAAUUCAUGUGGCCUUGAGUGUUGUGUAUCGGAUGCGCACACAGGACUCAUCAUCUUAUCUCUGAGUAAGCAGGUAU
rnacentral:lncRNA from 1 species